rnacentral:rRNA from 1 species
GACGAACGCUGGCGGCGUGCCUAACACAUGCAAGUCGAGCGAUGAAGUUUCCUUCGGGAAAUGGAUUAGCGGCGGACGGGUGAGUAACACGUGGGUAACCUGCCUCAUAGAGGGGAAUAGCCUCCCGAAAGGGAGAUUAAUACCGCAUAAUAUUACAGUUUCGCAUGAAACAGUAAUUAAAGGAGCAAUCCGCUAUGAGAUGGACCCGCGGCGCAUUAGCUAGUUGGUGAGGUAACGGCUCACCAAGGCGACGAUGCGUAGCCGACCUGAGAGGGUGAUCGGCCACAUUGGGACUGAGACACGGCCCAGACUCCUACGGGAGGCAGCAGUGGGGAAUAUUGCACAAUGGGGGAAACCCUGAUGCAGCAACGCCGCGUGAGUGAUGACGGUCUUCGGAUUGUAAAGCUCUGUCUUUGGGGACGAUAAUGACGGUACCCAAGGAGGAAGCCACGGCUAACUACGUGCCAGCAGCCGCCGCAGUAA